ensembl:rRNA 5S_rRNA 5S ribosomal RNA
GCUUACGGCCCAUACCAACCUGGCUAUGCCCGAUCUCGUCUGAUCUCGGAAGCUAAGCAGGUUUGGGCCUGGUUAGUACUUGGAUGGGAGACCGCCUGGGAAUACCAGGUGCUGUAAGCU